UUGCAAAUUUGUGGAAUUUUCCAGAAUGGAACUAACGGAAGCCCUUCAUUUUGCAGGUGGGGCUCACUGCCCCUUAGGGGGCAGGGAGCCAGUGAUUC
ensembl:misc_RNA